rnacentral:rRNA from 1 species
AUACGGAGGGAGCAAGCGUUAUUCGGAAUCACUGGGCGUAAAGGACGCGUAGGCGGGUUUGUAAGUCAGGUGUGAAAUCCUACAGCUCAACUGUAGAACUGCACUUGAAACUACAGACCUAGAGUAUGGAAGGGGCAGAUGGAAUUAGUGGUGUAGGGGUAAAAUCCGUAGAUAUCACUAGGAAUACCGAAAGCGAAGGCGAUCUGCUGGGACAUUACUGACGCUGAGGCGUGAAAGCGUGGGGAGCAAAAAGGAUUAGAAACCCCGGUAGUCC